GCCGAUCACUGUGAUGUGUUUGAUGGCCGCGCUCUGGGCGGAGGACAUGGAGCGGAGAAACUGGUGGCUGACGAACGCCAUGAUUUGCCCGCUGACUGGAAUUGCGGCAGCCGCUAACAAUUCAAAAGAAAUACAGAAGUAAAGGGAAACAGGGAGAAAAGUGCUGAUUGGUCGGAUGCUGCACAGGAAAAAAGACUGAGGAUCAUUGGGGCUUGUGCCAUCUUCUCACAACUUUUGAGUCCGAGAAUAUCUCCAACACGAUGACUUCAGACAGUUCGGAAGCCAAGAAAGUGGCCACACGUAGGAGCAGGGAACUGAAGUAUGAACAUUCUUCUCAAAGAAAAGGAACACCUGGAACCACCAGGCCUGGGAGAAUUGAUUGGUCUGUGAGGGGGUUUUCAAUGUCUGUUGAGAAAAACAAGAAUUUAAAUUAAAAAAGA